CUCAGGCCGAAAGGGGCUCUGCCCGCCCGAGGAUGGGCCGGCGGCCGAUUAGGUAGUUGGUGGGGUAACGGCCCACCAAGCCGAAGAUCGGUACGGGCUGUGAGAGCAGGAGCCCGGAGAUGGACACUGAGACACGGGUCCAGGCCCUACGGGGCGCAGCAGGCGCGAAACCUCCGCAAUGCGGGAAACCGCGACGGGGGGACCCCGAGUGCCGUGGCAUCGCCACGGCUUUUCCGGAGUGUAAAAAGCUCCGGGAAUAAGGGCUGGGCAAGGCCGGUGGCAGCCGCCGCGGUAAUACCGGCGGCCCGAGUGGUGGCCGCUAUUAUUGGGCCUAAAGCGUCCGUAGCCGG
rnacentral:rRNA from 1 species